rnacentral:rRNA from 1 species
AGUGAACGCUGGCGGUAGGCCUAACACAUGCAAGUCGAACGGCAGCACAGUAAGAGCUUGCUCUUACGGGUGGCGAGUGGCGGACGGGUGAGGAAUACAUCGGAAUCUACUUUUUCGUGGGGGAUAACGUAGGGAAACUUACGCUAAUACCGCAUACGACCUACGGGUGAAAGCAGGGGAUCUUCGGACCUUGCGCGAUUGAAUGAGCCGAUGUCGGAUUAGCUAGUUGGCGGGGUAAAGGCCCACCAAGGCGACGAUCCGUAGCUGGUCUGAGAGGAUGAUCAGCCACACUGGAACUGAGACACGAUCCAGACUCCUACGGGAGGCAGCCGUGGGGAAUAUUGGACAAUGGGCGCAAGCCUGAUCCAGCCAUACCGCGUGGGUGAAGAAGGCCUUCGGGUUGUAAAGCCCUUUUGUUGGGAAAGAAAAGCAGCAGGUUAAUACCCCGCUGUUCUGACGGUACCCAAAGAAUAAGCACCGGCUAACUUCGUG